AAUUAUAUGUUGUUGUUAUUGGUCUGUUUACAGGUUUGCACAAGGGAACUGUCUCACGUAUUGUGUCUGAUGUUUUGAAUUCAUUAUAUGACAAACGGGAUGAGUUUAUCAAGUGGCCGAAAAAUGUUGAUGAAACAAGAGGAUACUUUUACCGUCUAAGUGGUUUCCCAAAUGUGCUAGGGGCAAUAGAUGGUACACACAUCCGUAUCCAGGCUCCAUCAGAAGAUGAACCAUCAUUCGUGAAUAGGAAAGGGGUACAUUCUGUCAAUGUGCAGGCUGUUUGUGAUGCCAGAGGUAAAUUCACAAACAUAAAUGCAAACUGGCCAGGUAGUAGUCAUGAUUCCCACAUAUUCAGGACUUCACAAAUAAGAAUGACACCAAGCAAAGCAUGCAAGAUCAUCAUUGCUUGUGCUAUUCUUCACAAUAUUUGCAUCUUAUUAAAUGAACCAGACAUUGAAGAUGAUGGAGUAGUGAUAGACAAUGAUGGAGAUCUUGGG